UAGACGAACAUGUGAAAAGGGCGUACUUCCAAAAACACGGAACUGAGAAAACAACCAACAAAGAUUCGGAAUACAAAUUUAAAUGCUAUUUUAAGAGCAACGUCUUAACUAAUAUUUUUGAAUUUUUAAAAUGACGAUAGGAAAAUAAUUCAAAACUUUACGACGAAAUAUUUUGAAAAAGUAUUGAUUUAAGCUUAGAAUUUAAUGAAAAAGGAAAUACACCCUAUUGAUAUGUUAAGCGUCAUUACGCCUAGUGAAUUCGCCCGAUAACAUGGCAGCACUGGAAAUUCGCCGCGGAAUUAUGUCAUGUUGUGUUUAUGUUUUGUUGUUCCGCCAAGGUUCUUCUGCCUCUCAAACGAAUUGUAAUGGAAUUACGCCGGAGUUGUUUUUCAUCACGUUUAUUUGCAAUUCAACGGAUUGUAAAAUGUACCAUGGUGUGAUGAUUGUGGAUUGACUUCAACGAUGUACGUGUCAUAUGUCAAAAUGUGCAAUUAUGCUCAACGAACAAUAACUGCAUCAUAAUUACAUUAUGCUACAUGUAACAUGUUUCGGAAAUGUUAGAUUCUCCUACAAAAAUAUGUGUGGGAUACGCGUAUUGUUAUGCGAAGGUAUUGAAACUUAAAAACGUUUCAACUGAGCUAUAUACACAUGAAAGUUUUGGCCCUAAAUGCUGACAUUCUGUAUCUACAACUGAUGUAUUAUCUUACAUUUUAGGCGAAGUUUGCUCAAGAAAAUGAUUUUACAUAGCAAAAUACAACAAAAUUUAUCAAACA